rnacentral:rRNA from 1 species
CCUACGGGAGGCAGCAGUAGGGAAUCUUUCACAAUGGGCGAAAGCCUGAUGGAGCAACGCCGCGUGCAGGAUGAAGGCCUUCGGGUUGUAAACUGCUUUUAUAAGCGAGAAAUAUGAUGGUAACUUAUGAAUAAGGAUCGGCUAACUACGUGCCAACAGCCGCGGUCAUACGUAGGAUCCGAUCAUUAUCCGGAGUGACUGGGUGUAAAGAGUUGCGUAGGUGGCAUAAUAAGUAGCUAGUGAAAUCUGGUGGCUCAACCAUUCAGACUAUUAGCUAAACUGUUAAGCUCGAGACCGUUAGGGGUAACUGGAAUUUCUAGUGUAGGAGUGAAAUCCGUAGAUAUUAGAAGGAACACCAAUAGCGUAGGCAGGUUGCUGGGACGGUUCUGACACUAAGGCACGAAAGCGUAGGGAGCAAACGGGAUUAGAUACCCCAGUAGUC